rnacentral:lncRNA from 1 species
UCCAUAUAUUAUCCAUAUCGUUAUAAUUCAGAGAGGCAAAAAGAGCAUAUCUUAUAUAAUAAUUGUUUGUCCACAGUAUCAGAACCAUGGUUAUUUAGAAAUUAAAGGAGCAUCUUAUUUGUCUAUACCAUCAUUAAUUAGCUAGGUUGUCUUAACAGAAACAACCCUAGUUACUUUUAAAUUUAAUUCGAUAUAUAUAAUUUUUUUUAAUAUAAUUUGGAUACCACCGUACGUGGACGUCGUUGAUCAUGGUGAUCUUUCUGUUUCCGAUGGUUUCUCUGAUGGUCCUUGCUCUUCCUCCACCGGUCUCGCCGUGAUCGCCAUGACAUCAAUGCAGCUUUGGAGAAGCUUCUCGGCAAUUGCUUCUAACUCAGCCUCCGUGGUCGUGUCGUUGCUGACGCGCACAUUGACGGCUUUAGUCAGAUCAAGCAAGUUCUCCGACAGUUGCUUUCUCUUGCUCUCCAUUGCUAGCUCUCGGUUCUUAAUUAUUCUCUCUUCUCGAUCUUUUUUUUUUUUUUGUGUGAUUAGACGAAAUUUCGUUUGUGAUUCUGUAACUAAGCGUAAUUAAUCACCUCUGUUUAUAUAGGAGAUAAUUAGCUUAUACAUAUCUUGGUUACUAGACUUGUUCUUUAAGUUUUGUUUCGGCUUAUAGUGUUAAGCUUAUAUGUUUGCUGACUUGGUUAAGCGUAAGUGUGUUUUACGUGUUGCAUUAGGUCUUCUUUAAUUUAACACUUUUGUAUACAUGACAUGCACAUCUACACGUAACACGUCUAUUUUUAAAAAUUUAAACCACACAUGUGUAUAAUAAUUAUUAAACCUCUAUAUCUUAAUACAAAUGCGAUGAUAAUUAAUUCUUAUACAACAAUUAAUUUUAUUUCACAAUCUCAUCACUAUUUAAAACAUCAAUAGAUCUCACAACAAUUAAAUUUAUUUUUACAAUCUCAUAACAAUUUUUUUUUUUUCUUAUUCAAAAAAAAACAUCGAUAGAUCAAUUGAUAUGUUUUUGUUUCGGAUUUAAGAUUAAUGUACGUCGAUCGAAUUGAUUUUCUAAUUUCUAUAUGGUUGCAGUAAAAAAGUAAAAACAUUAUUGUAUAAGAUGAUCGGAGAAUUAUAGUCAUCCGAACCUUUAAUAAGCAUUAGUGUGUUACACGUCAAGUCCCUCUUUAGUUUUGCAUCAUUUGUGGCCGUUGAAAAUGGCUAUACUAGAAAUUAUGUGCAUUGAUUUUUUUUUAAAAUGAGAAUAGUUAGGGAUGCAAUUUGAUAAUGGUAAAAAUUGGAAGAAAAAAUUAAGUGAAAAAUGCAAUUAGUGGACGCCUACUUAAGGUAAAAGAAUAAUGAAAAGACAAAGCAUAUUCGAAGGUAGACGAUGAAAUUAGUCUUUUUUAGUAGACGACUACGACGACAACAACAAUAACGUACAGUACUAAUUAUUAUUUAACAUAUUAUUAUUUUUACAAUAACUUAGUAAUCUCAAUUAUGAUUUUGUUCACCUUUAUGAUAUUAUCUUAAUUCCAUCAAAAAUAUUAAUAUAGGCUCAACUCUUAUUAAAUCGUAUAAUAUAGUAAUAUCGAUGUAAUGCAACAUUUACAGUCAUCUUACGAUGAGUGUUGUUUGUUCAUUAUCAACUCCAGUAGUACCGAUUCUGUCAUUCACAGAGAGAGCUAAAUCUCUGUCGGAGAUUCAACAAGCUCAUGCCUUUAUGCUCAAAACAGGUCUUUCUCAGGACACUUAUUCUGCGAGCAAGCUUAUUGCCUUUGCUGUAACGAACCCAGAACCCAAAACUGUCUCUUACGCUCACUCCAUUCUCAAUCGGAUCGAGAGCCCUAAUGGGUUCACUCACAAUUCCGUCAUCAGAGCUUACGCUAAUAGCUCUACCCCUGAGAUGGCGUUGGUCGUGUUUCGUGAUAUGCUUCUUGGCCCUGUUUUCCCCGAUAAGUACAGCUUCACGUUCGUGUUGAAAGCUUGUGCUGCUUUUUCUGGGUUUGAAGAAGGAAGGCAAAUUCACGGUCUUUUUAUGAAGAGUGGUUUGAUGACUGAUGUGUUUGUUGAGAACACUUUGGUUAAUGUUUACGGAAGAAGCGGUUACUUUGAGAUUGCGCGUAAAGUGCUCGAUAAAAUGCCUGUGAGAGAUGCUGUUUCUUGGAAUUCGCUUUUGAGUGCUUAUCUUGAGAAGGGUUUGGUGGAAGAAGCUCGUGCGUUGUUUGAUGAGAUGGAGGAACGGAAUGUGGAGUCUUGGAAUUUUAUGAUUUCGGGUUAUGCGGCUGCGGGAUUGGUUAAGGAAGCCAAGGAGAUUUUUGAUUCUAUGCCGGUGAAAGAUGUGGUUUCUUGGAACGCUAUGGUGACUGCUUAUGCACAUGUGGGUUGCUACAACGAGGUUUUAGAGGUUUUCAAUGAAAUGCUGGAUGAUUCUACUGAGAAACCAGAUGGUUUUACUCUUGUUAAUGUUUUAUCUGCGUGUGCUAGUCUUGGAUCCUUGAGUCAAGGUGAGUGGGUACAUGUUUACAUAGACAAGCAUGGGAUUGAGAUUGAAGGGUUUUUGGCUACAGCUCUUGUGGAUAUGUAUUCGAAGUGCGGGAAAAUUGAUAAGGCUCUUGAAGUGUUUAGAGCUACUUCAAAGAGAGAUGUCAGUACAUGGAAUUCUAUAAUCUCAGGUUUAAGCGUCCAUGGUCUUGGAAAGGAUGCUUUAGAGAUUUUUUCGGAGAUGGUGUAUGAAGGUUUCAAACCAAAUGGUAUCACAUUUAUUGGUGUUCUGUCGGCCUGCAAUCAUGUGGGUUUGUUGGACCAAGCUCGCAGACUUUUUGAAAUGAUGAAUAGUGUUUAUGGGAUUGAGCCAACUGUUGAACACUAUGGUUGUAUGGUGGACUUGCUUGGUCGGAUGGGUAAAAUUGAGGAAGCAGAAGAACUUGUGAAUGAGAUUCCAGCAGAUGAGGCUUCGAUGUUACUAGAAUCUCUUCUUGGUUCCUGUAAAAGGUUUGGAAAAUUGGAACAAGCAGAGCGUAUAGCAAAUCGAUUACUGGAAUUGAAUCCACAUGAGAGUUCAGGUUACGUUCAGAUGUCAAACUUGUAUGCAUCUAAUGGAAGAUGGGAUGAGGUUAUGGAGGUGAGAAGAAAAAUGAGAGCAGAAAGAGUAAACAAGAAGCCUGGAUGUAGCAUGAUUGAAGUUGAUGGGGUCGUCCAUGAGUUCUUAGCUGGUGAAGGACUAAGAGUCGACUAAACUUGGUAAUUUUCCAAAAAAUAUGUUGGUCUUAUGCUGUCAAUUAAAUAGAAUUACUAUCAGUUUUAAUGGUAACCAAGAAGCAUGAAGUUAGGGGAGUUGCAUCCUAGAAAGCUUAACCUAUUAACAGAUCAUAAUGAUGAAUCAUGCACACAUCUUUAUAGCACUAUUCUACACCAAAAUUAAAAAUUCAUAUCAUUAUGCACCUGCUGAAACACACUGAUGAUCAUAUCAUGAUAUUCAUUGGUAUUGAGUCUGAGAUAACAAACCAGAAGCUCUUUGAGUUCUUCAGGGUGGUUGAUACCAUUCUCCAUGAUCAUCUCGAUCAUCGAAUCUCUAAAAUCUUUUUGAGGAUCGCUCGAGCAUUUCACUACUGCAAAGCUUUCGUUCUCCGUUCCUCCAUCUGUUGUUUCUAUCAGAAGCUCUUGCUCUCGUGCUCUCAGUUUAGCCUUCUUCAAGUCUUCAAUAGCUUUAACUCUGCAUUUUUCAGAUGCUCGUGGUGAAAAUACUCUAACCUUGUUGUUUUCUUUUGUUCCUAAUCUGUUUAGCUCCCUUUUGAGGUACAUCGACUUUCUCUGUUGGUCGGCCUUCAGCUUCACUUCUCUUAGUUUUACUUCCUUGAGUUUUUCCCACUGAUUAGUUGAUUUUGUUACGGUAUGACCAAGAAUCACAGAAUCCUCUUUACCGUAACUUCCUGUACCUGUCCUUCUCGAUGUUUUUUUUGCCUUCACCUCUACAUCUUGUUCUGAUCUCUUUGGCUUUUGUUCGAGAAGCCUUUGAUCACGUCUCUCACAUCUCUGCUUAUCUCUGUUCACCUGAAUUCUUGGCGUCAUAAUCACAUUUCCUUUGUCUCUAUCCAUUGCCUCUACUUCCAGAAAGCCACACGUCUCUCUUUGGAAGUCUCUUACUUUCUUCCUUACACUGCUCAUUAUCUCUUCAAACUUCUCAUUUGACUCCCUAUCUGCUGAUCUUGCUGCAGCGUUCUGCUUUUCUACUUGUAUUCUCUGAAAGUUUUUUCUGCUCUCACUAAUAUCAUUUCGAUGUGUAGUAGAACUCAAGGAAGAUUUUGUAGACAUGGUAUGGCUAGCUUUAGUAGAACUCAAGGAAGAUUUUGUAGAAUUCAAGGAAGAUUUUGUAGACAUGGUAUGGCUAGCUUCAUCAUCUUGCUUCUUUUCUUUUGCAGGUUUCAAGUCAGAAGAACCGCUUAACUUUGAAAACCAAGAACCAGGAAGAGCACGAGACAAACCGGAAGAAGAAGAAACAGGUUUUUUCCUUCCCCAUUUCAUCAUUCCGAACGAUACAGGAUUUUGGAAAAGGUUUGGUGCGUCUUUGAUAAAACCGGGUUUCUUAGGCUAGAGGCCGACUAUGAAGAGAUGUAUAAAAAUGAAGAGAUGUAUAGAAUGAAGGGAUGAUGUAUCUAGAGCUUACUGAGUCUGCUGUAAUAUUGUUAGGUCGUUGUGUUUAAUAGGGAGAUGAACUUAACGGGUAAGAGCCAGUUGCAGUUUGAAAAAAAAAGAACCAAACCCGCCUGAAGAAUCCUGUGACCACUUUUAGCCUAAUUAACUUUUUCUUUUAUUGGUUCUGACGUUCUGUUAUCUCUGGGUACGUUCUGGAAUUUAUACCAAAGUGGGGGACCAAAUUUUUAUCAAAAAAAAAAAAAAAAAAAACCAAACUUCAUUGAUGACAAAGACUUAAGGCUCUCUCUUUCUCUCUCUCUUUUUCUCUUCUUUCCGUGUAACGUGACCGACGCAAGAACCACAAGAAUCUUCCCAUCUUUUUAGUUUGUAGUAGCUGUCUCAAUACCGUCAUAACAUUGAGUUCUUAGAUCAUGGAAUCUAGUGGCUUUUGCAGUGGUUACCAUUGUUUACAUGAUUUACAUCAUCCCUAUUCCCUAGUGAUCAUGUAAAAACGAACCCCCCGAACCCCCCGAGUGUCUCGUCCAACAUAACAGUAUGAUUGGUACUGGUCCCGGUCUCUCUGGUCCUAAUCUUGAAAGAUGUAUAAAUAAAUAAUCAUGAAGAAGGUAAAGUUUGAUGGAUUCUUUUGGUAUGUGUUAUCUCAAAGUUAGAGAUUUUGUGAAGUUUUGAGGAAGAUGUGGUCCUCACCUUUCAAAAGAACAGCUACAAAAAUCUCUCCAUAUGGUCAUUUGGAUAUAUCACCUACCUUGAGGUAUGGUUUGUGUCAUCCUCCAACAACUUGUUCUUCAUUUUAAUUCAAUUUUUUUUUAGUUUCUUUUUUCUUCUUCUUCUAUAUAACAACAAUAGUAGUAUAGCCAUCAAAAUAAGGAUAGAGAAGGGUUCUAAAUUUAUUUACAUUAUUUUUUUGUGUGUCUCUUGUAUUGUCAAGACUUGGCAUUGAAGCAUUCACCAGUUUCAGGCUCUUCUACUCUCCUAUCUGCAAAGGAAUAAAAGAAUAAUUGCCCCAUCUCGUAAUUAUUAUUUUUUUCCUGACCAAGAUGAUAAACAUAUAAAGAAGAGACUGUAA